CUGAGCUCCGUGAGAGGGCGGGGCAGAGUCUGAGUCUGAGUUAGAGCCGAGGCUGGCGGAGGCACUGAAGGAGGAACCUGAGGUUGACCACAUUAAGAUUUCAAGAUGUCAAAAGGUGACGGAUUGUUGCAAAAUCAAAAACACGAGUCUCACUACACAGAUCAGACUCAU